GCGCUCGGGCGCGGGGUUGUACGUCUGUAUUGAGCGCGGCGCCACCGUGUGGGACCCGCGGGACGCGCCGCAGCUCUCAGCCGUCCGCCGCCGCCGCUCCCCGCCGCCCGGCGCACGGGAUGGGCCUGAAGCUGCGCUCCGCGUUCUCCGUCAGCACCACGUCGUAGCGGCACAGCGGCGGCCUGCGACAAAGCACGAAGCGCUGCACGGCCGCACGGGGAGGUGGGGAAUCACCGUCCCCGGAGGUGUUCAGAGCCGUGGGGAUGCGGCACUGAGGGACGUGGGCAGUGGGCGCGGUGCGGUGGGCUGGGGUUGGACCUGGGGAUCUCAGGGGUCUUUUCAGUACAAGGGUAUGGCUGCAGAGCACACGGAGGUGGCAGGGGUGACCGAAGCCUCUGUACAAGUCCCAUCAGUGUGCUGUGGUCAGUGCUUGGCAGUUCCAGGUCACCAGGACUCCAGGAGGGAACGACUCUCCCCAUUUCACUGGGUGUAGGCACUUACUGCGGUGUAAGGUGCACCCAGGGCGGUGCAUCUGUAUUUCCCUGAGAGUUCUGCUUGCUUUCAGCACUGAGUUCAGGCCUGGGCAGCUUCUGCGCAGCCACACGCAGGUCACGAUGCUGACCAGAGGUUAAAACAUCGGGCCACAAAUUGCGUUUUCAACACAGUGAGAUAACCUCUGUGGUCAGGCAGAGCUCGGGGAUCUCUGUGCGUGCGUGCAAGGCAGAAUUUACUCCCUGGCUGUAUAUACGAGAAUCAUUAAAUGUCAUGUAAUUCCUCUUGACAAACCUGCCAGGCUUGGGAUGUGGGAGAUUCCUUUACUUCUGCCCAGUUUGCAGCAAGGACAGCUUGUGCAGCACUUACCUCUCCGGGUUGCUGAGUGAGCGGAACCUCAUCUGGAGAAUCCUGAGCUUGAAUUUGGGGCCGAUGACAGAUCCCGUGGAAAACGUCAUGGAAAUCCUUGUUAUGUUUUCAAAAUCCUGGUUGAAUCCAACGAGCAAACUGAUGUGGUUGUACUGCUGGAAGGCUGCAGCUUCGCUAAAGGAAAGGAAGAGGGCUCUGAAACAUUGAGUGUUUCUGUGCUGCUGAGGUGCGACUUGUUGGCAAUGGCAAAAGGCAGCAGUGAGGUGAGUAGGGGGAGCAGAUGGAGCGGAGCAGAGGGCUCGUGUCACGCUGCUGGCCCAGUGGGAGGGUUUGGAGACGUACUGUGCACUGGCUGGGAGAGGAGAGGGCUGAGGGAGGUGCUGGAUUUGCCAUAUAGGAUGGUUUAACCCAACAGAAGCGGGAUGGAGGCGGGAAGCAUCAUGCUGAGCAACCUCCCUGGAGGCUUGCAGGGUGCCAAAGCAGCGUGGAUCGUCCUAGCAGAGCAGAGCAGACCUAAUAUCCAACCUGAACCUGCGCUCCCAGCACAUUUCCUUUCAGUGGUAAAGAGGAGGUGUCACCACAUACCAUCGGUGUCCGAGUGGAUGACAUCAACAAACUGUGCAUCAGUAGGGUCCAACCUCUCACUGGGUGGCUUUCCUCUGUACAGGGGGCCCGCUGGGUCGAGGCCUGCAACACAAAACCAUGCAUGUGUCAUCACCCCGAUGCACAGCUGAUAAUGAUUGCUGUGAGCAGCAGUCCUGGAAGCAAAAGGGCUGCCAGCAGGAGGGUUACCUGUGAUCCUUCCCAGCUGACCACCAAACAUCUGUCCCACAAGGCCAGAGAUGUGUGCUCCCAGGCUUACUCCUAUCAUGUGAAUGGAGUCAAGCGACGCGCCGUUAAUCUGGGAUUUAAAAUAUAACCACAGGUGCUUAGGUGUGCUAAGAAGGCAUAAAGAACAUCAGGAGGAGGAAGGUAAAUGCAUCUCUCUGCUUUUUCCUGUUUCCCAGUGGUGCGUUCCACUCCAUAUAAAUAUCAGAGUUGGACUCAAUGAUCCUUAUGGGUUACGUCUCACUGGGGAUGUUCUAUGAUUUUAUGAUUUUCCCUUUUAAUAGUCCCACAGUGUAUCCAGCACUCAUAUUUGAGGCCCAUAUCCAAGAGCUGUGAAUGCAACAGCUCUGGCGAAGGUUGUAUUUUCCUGGGGCAGUGAUGACAGGUUGGGCAGGAAGAAGCAUUCAUGGGCUCCGUGCAAGGCAUUAGCAGACACAAAGAUGCAGACACCCGGUGUCACCUUAAGCUGACUUGGGACACCCAGAAGGUGGAAACAGAGUUUCAGUGGAUGGGAAAACAAAUAUCUGGAAAUGCAAAGUGAACUGAAUAUCGCAGCAAAAUGCCAUCCUACCACAUCCAAGCCCUUUUAGGAGUUUCUUUUCCCAGCCGUGCUGCUGUUCUUAAGCACUUCCUUUGUGCCCUGUGCAUGUUGUGCAUUAAUGACUAUAUCAUAGUGUGAACAUUCCACUUACCAACAUUUCAUCCAUAAAUUUCUUCAGAAUCUCAGCAACUUUCUUGCCAUUUCUGGAAGCAUUACUGUAGAUGAUAGUAGUUGCCCCUCGGUUCCAGUCCACAACAAUGAUGUUCAUGUCCUCUUCGGAAAGCAGGAGAUGCACCAGGUCAGGGAUCCAGACUGGGGCUGAGCCUGUGGGCCGGUAUCCAUGGAUAAUGAAGGUGGUCUUCUUGGUCAGAUCGAGAUACUUGGAGGCUGUCGAAUUGAGCUCUUCAGCACAGUCUUCAUUCUGCCUGGUGUACAGCAUCAGCUUCACUUCCAGGUCGGUCCCUAUCAAGGCGCUGCUGAAGCUGAGCACGGUGAAAGCAGGGCAUGUCUCCUUGGGAUCUGAAACGAGCACAGAGUGGCAUUCCUCAGGUUAGCAGCCAAGCGUUUCUCUUGGCCUUUUCUACCUGCCAGCCCUGCCCAGGCACAGAACGUGUGCUGGGAGCUGCCUGGGCUGCUCCUUUCCCUGCCACUGUGUCUGUCCCUGCUCUGUAUCUUGGUUUUUCUUGCUGUGUUGGAACAAAGGCAGCGAGUGCACCAGCACAGCCCUGUAUGCUGUAUACCUUCCACUAGCAGCUGGGAGGUGGCACGGGCUCUCCAGAAACCUUGGAAGCUAUUACAGAAUGACAGCGAGGCUGACGGCUGUGUAGGUUGGACAGCACACCCAGAUGCCCUGGAGAAGCUCUAGGGUGAAGAGAUCUCUCUGUAUUUUGUCUGGAGCUGGCAAGCUGCGGGGGAUCUUGCUGCUGUGAGGGGCAGCUCAGUGCUUCAUUUGUAUCUGCAGAUACAGCAUGCUAUUUCAGACUGUGAAAUGGGACACCCUUUGUCUGAAUGAGAUACGGUACUGAUAACACUUUGUACACAGCUGGAGAGUUCCCGAAUUUUCAGUAAGUACUGCUUUUGACGACAAUCUUUGCCAUUUGGAAGCCUGUCUUUGUUCUCUGCUUUUCCAGCAGGCCACCAGCUGAGCCUUCACAGCCCCAUGCAAGCUCCAGCAGGGCACUGCUAGGAAAAGGAAUAACAGUCUCCAGGCAGACUGCUUACUGAGACCCUCCCAGGUUCUGUAGCCUCUCUCUGGCCCACAGUCUCCUUGGUUUUACUGAAGAACCUUGUGGGAGAAAGCAUCUCUCUUGCACACACACCCUGGGCUGCAUUAAUUGCUCCCCUGCAGUUGCUAAAGGGCUUUUGCUGCUCAAAAGCAAAAGCUGUGCUGGAGGUGGAAGAGGUUUGGGAAACCUGCAGCUUUAAGGCAGGGGUGCUCUAGCAGGUGUCCAGCACUCCGUGCAUUUUAAUUUCCAAAUGAUGGAUCUCUCGCAGUUCCCACAAUAAACUUUCAUGCUUUUCCUCCUAUGGAAACCAGAAGCAUGAGAGUAAUAUAAAUGCUGUGUGCCCAGCACAUAAAAUAAUCCUCUCAGUUGCCAUAGUUCUGCUAAUUACUUUGCAGAAGCCCCAGGAGCUCCAGAAAUAAAAGUUAAUAGGCUAAGAGGAUGUUGCAGUUAACUCCAACUGGAUGUUUUAAAUUACUACUAUAAAUUCAGAAAUAAAUUUUAACAUUUGAGAUCCACAGAGCCCUUCCUAUGGAAAGCCCAUGGUGAGAUACGAAUAGCGGGAUGGGAGCAGCGGGGAGUGAACUCUCAGGCAGGGCUAGCGAGCAUCAGUUGAAGUCAAUGGCUUUGAGCUGAGGGUGUUCUGCCUCCUAAAGCUCCCAUCUCCCAGGAGCACAUCACUCUGGGCCCUGCUUUCUCGAGUCGAGGUGACCUUUGGUGCCUCUUUCUUGGUCCGUUUGCUCUCCAUUGGGAACAGCAGCAAGAGUUCUCCAUCUGGAGACCUCAGAGCAGCUAGCAGAGAGCUAUGGUUUUGUGCACAGUGACAAUGGGUGACUCUCCUCUAGGUGCUACUGCAGUGCAAGAGAAAAAAAAACCCACGUUUGUCUUAGAUUAAUAACUCAGUGUGUUUCACUUCCCGUAUAGCACUGUUACGCAGUAUUGUUAAUCAUCUGUACUGCCACGGAGGCCAUAGAAACGCAGGCAGAAAUGCUGGACCAGAAUUAUUGCUACAUGGUGCAAAGCUGCUCUGAUUGCUUCAUUUGUCUCUUAUCUCUGCGUUGUGCUGUGACAUGCCCAGGGGAGCACUUGGUUGGCACCAGAGCAGCCCAAACCCUCUGCCGAAGAAGGGCUAUUAAAGAGCUGAUCGGGAUUUGCUAAUCCCUAAAAGAGGAAGAGUUUAAAAAGCAUUGUAUCUGUACCAAGUCUGUUAAAUUUGUUCUGUUUUCAUUAACAAGAUCAGAUGAGUGUUGAUGGAGGGGGAAAGCCUGCCGGCUUCUCCCUGCUGCAUGGCUGUGUGUCGCAGGAGCUGACACAUGAGGGCAGCUGGGGAUCCUGCAUUCACUCCUCCUCCUGGUAGGCACAGGAUGGCAAACACCGCUUUGCUAGGCCAGGUCCUCUCACGCCUCAGCACUCUAGCAGAAGCCAAAGCGAUCUGCUUUGAUGUUCCUAUGUUGGAGCUGGACAUCUGCCUUGAGCAUGAGAUCAGCCUCUCAGGUGUGCCUGCAGCAGGAGGGGCAUCUUCGGCACAGCUGGUUUGUGGAGACCAGGAGCAGGUGGGAGCACUGCGGCCAUGACAGUGGUGCUGGGCAGACCCUGCAGCAGUCACUGCAGUCAGUGCCAUGCAAGGCUCGCGUCCUCCUGGGCUCUCUCCAAACACGGUGUUUGGAGACUUUCCCUUCCUUUUGUCCUGGGUGUUCAUCCUAUGGGCAGGAAGGUCCUCAUCUUUGAGGCUUUCUGCACAGAAAGAAUGGCAUCUCCAUUUUUCAACUCUGCCAGUUCAGCCCCUUGCAAAGUGAAGGUUCAAAAGGUUUCCUCCUCAUCGUCACUUCAUCAGAGCUGCUUCUGUCAGAUCUGUGGCUGUCCUAACUGCGAACCCUGGGAGACCACAUUGCCUCACAGAGCCCACCAAGGGGCUGCUCCCUACUCAGCAGCUUCUGCUGACCUCCAACCAGCAUGCUGCUGCUCCCAUGGCAGCCUGCAGCAUCCCUGACUUCCAAAGCACCAUUACCUUGCCCGGGAUGUGCCAUUUGUUUCAGGAGACCCUUACGCAUCAGCACUAAAGUGGUCAGCUUUGAGCACUGCCACACAGCAAAUCCCAGCAGCGUUGCUGAGUAUUCCCAUGCUUUCCACACAAAGGGUGUGCCCUCCACCUCUUAAAAUGGCCUUCAGUAUCUCCCACUUUUAACUAUGUUUCCUACAGUGUAUUCAUCACAAUAAGCAAAACCAGACCUCCAAGACUGCCCGAGGGAGCCUGAUGAAAUAUCAGCCUUCCUGAGAAUCCUUUGCAUUGUUCUAAAUCCCGUUUGUUUUCCCUGCAAAGCGUGGAGCUGCAGCUCCACAAAGCAAGCGACGCGCUCCCAUGUGUGCGUUAACAGGAGGCAGCACAUUUGUUGAUUAUUAAACAGGUUGAUUCUUGAUGGGGCCACGAGGAUACCAAGUGAAGUUUAGCAUUCAUAAAUGCGAAUUCGUCCUUUUGUGGCUGUCAUGUAACGCGCUGCUGAAAAGAAAUCAUUCUUCUCUGAAGAUUUCAGAUGACGUUUUCAGUGUCGAUGGAUGGUGCUUAUGUAAGAGGAAUGCUUGCAAAGCGAAGAAGAGAUCAUACAAAUGACUUCUGGCUUUAUGUUUGGAACUCUUCAGUUCAUGAAACCAAGACAGUUUGCUUUAAGACAACUAAUGCUAGUUAAAGACUCCACACAGUAACCUUACAAUGCAGAGGGCAGAUAGGUUUAUGCUUCUGCAAAGCAGAGUAAGAGUUAUAUUGAACAAAAAAAAUCAAAGCGAUUGACUUCCUACCUGUUUUCACCCCAUACAAAAGGCAGAAGAACGUGACACACAGCCACAGCAUGUGGGCUCCCGCAUGGAACUUCUACAGGUAGAAAACCUUACUGGUCCUGUGGUUUCUUUGGCAUGUCGUCGCUGUCUCGGACAGCUGUUUGCUCUCUUUUUCUGCCAGCAAUGUAGGUGUGGUGAAAGGAGGAAGUUCCCAGCCAAGAAAUGAAGACGGGCCUGAAGUUAUACAACUGGCACUUCUUUCUCAAAAGGUGGGGCACCUUCUCUUGUAGCAGGAUCCCUUGUUUUAAAUAUCGUUUGCCCUGGGCUGUGACUAAUCAAAGACAGACAUGGUUUGGUAUCACGCUGUAAGCAGCAGUUUGACUACCUGUGUUGAAAUUACUGUGUGCCUGUUCGCCUUCUGCAAAGAGCGUCAAAAUGCAGGGAAGAACGUAGGUGUGCAAAGUUGAUAGGCAUCUGGGCAGGGCCAGCACUCAGCUUCCCAGGACCCCACGUUGCAGCAUUGGGACACUCCCAUCCGUGUUCCUCUGGCUCUCCCACGCUCUGGCUGUCUCCAGCAGGUGGAAGCCCAGCAUCCCUUUUAACCUGUGAGGUCCUGCAGCCUCAGUCAGGGUGUGGAUGGGCACCACUCCAUCCCGACAAAGGGAAGGUCCCAGUUCAACUCAAUACGUGCUGCCAAGAAGCUGCUGUUUUGGAUAGCACUCAUACAUCUGGCAUCCCCAUCAUGUUUUCCUAAAGCCCUGCUGGAACCUUGUGAAUCCAGAUCCAAUUCAAGUGAGAAAGGCUUUUUUUCCCCUGCUGGACAGUAAGAAGACGGCAGAUGCAGAGACAACUGUCAGGGCUGGGAAAGGAAGCCUGAAAUUGGAGCUGGAAAAUCUUGUGGCAAAAUUGGUGUGAUGGAGAUGGAGUUUGUGAUGGAGUGAGAGAGGGGAGGGGAAGGGAGAACAGAGACGGCUGCUAGAUAGACAAAGCCACCACACAGCUUCUAGCGUUUUCUUUGCAGGGAGAGGGAACAUGGGGAGGAUCAGAAAUACCUCAUUAAGCCCAAGCUCUGUUUUGCCCCUGGUGAGAUGCAGCGAGGAGCUGAACUAUUACAGUUCCCAGUGGCGUAGCUGUUUCUUUGGUCCGUACUGUACAUACGAAGCUUGAGUUAAUCCUGAACAGCCUGCUGGCUGCCUGCAGCUCCUUCUUGUUCAGAUGAGCACACUGCUGGCUCAGUGCAGGCACUACUAACUCCUCAGGCAGGGGCAGCCCCAGCCACACGCAAUUUUUUCUCAAGCCCCUCAAACCAAGCAUCCUCCUGUGGCUCAGCACUCAGCCUCGCAGGACAUCAGACAUGCUCCACGUGGUACUCACACAGGCCAACGUUGGGUUUUGUUGAUUCUGAAGAGGAUAAACAUUGUGAAAAGACACCCAAGAUUUCUGCAGAAUCUGGAAGCUGUGGGCUCCAGGAAAAUGCCUUUAUUUUCUGAUGCACUGGCAAUAGAAAAUACUCUGAAAUACUGUUUUCCUUCCAGAUUCUUUCUCACCUCUACCAGUAGCCCUAAACUGUCAAAAUAUUUUCUCCUUAGCAAGUUCUGCCGAUGGUGUGAAGGAAUCAGUCCAAGAGUAAAACACGCAAGAUGAACAGAAGGCUUUUACCUAUUGCAAAAGAUGUUUGAGAAUCGGAGAUAAAGUGAGGUAAAGAAAUAAAGAGGGCCUUGCCUUUCUUCUCAGCAUAAGAAGAGGUAACAUUUCUGUUGCCUGAAGCUAAGCUCCCCUCGUUCCUUUUCCCCAUCACUUCCCUUAGAUGGCUGUUUCCCUCUGAGACAGCUCAUCUGAGCAGCUGUCAACAGGCACUGGGCUGGUGCUUCCCUAUGACUUCUUCCCUGUGACUCAGCCAAAACACAGGGAUUUUGAGUAACCACAAUUUUAGCACAAAUUGCACUGUUUAUACUGGAAAAUAUAUGGAGCUCAGCAGUGUCAAUGUCUGGUGCCACCACUGACCUAUGGUUAUCUGGGUUUUGUAUAGCAAACUCUAACACAAAACACAGUUAUACUUGGAAUGUAAGCCUCCAUGGUCACCAACAUCCCAUCCCGAGUUUUGAAAUGCAAGAACAACUCCAGACAGUGAAAACUACAUUUUUACCACAUGUAGAAAACAUCUAAGAACAGAACUGGCACCAAAUAAAGAAUAAGUUAACAGAAGGUAUAAUUUUACAUGAAAUCCCCCGGAUUCAUCAGUUUCCCGUGGGAGGGACGUUUUCAUGGAGAUACUGCAGAGACAAAUCUGUCCACUUCAUUUCUUGCUCUUUCACAGACUCCGUUGUACCUCCAUUGUCUUGCUCUGGUUCAGGGAGCUCAUUCUGAGAACAACAAAAAAAGGUACAUUGCAUUCUGUGCAUAACAAGCUUCCUAAAAGGAGCAGGUGACGAAGACUUCAUAUGAAUAAAUACAAAAAUCCACAAAUGAGACCGGAGGGGGCAUCUGAACAAUACAUAUCACACAUACUGAUUCAGUUAAAAUAUUACUAAGCCCACUGAGGAACAGUGUUCUUUUCAUAUGAUUAUGAUGCUUCAUCUGAAAGGCAAAUUGGCUUUCCAGGGCCCUGGGGCCUUGCUAUGUACUCAGACUGCACACGCAGUGAAGGAGAAUAUAGAGAAAAUGCAAAAUAAGUAAAUAAUAGCAUGGUGUGAUUAUUCCACUGCUUGUUUGGAUUGUGUUUCUUUGUCGCUGCCCAGAAUAUAGAUAUUGCAUUUACUGUAGCUGUAUUAAGACAGCUGCCUUUGUAACAUAUCACUUUCUUAUGGCAAGGGGAGAAAUCCUUCCUCUUCCUACACGUGGAACUCUGGUGUGGCCGUGCUGUAACAACAGGAGAUGUCAGAAACCCCCACCAAGAGCAACACCAAGCUGCUCAGCAUGCAGGGAGGAGGAAGGAGAGUUGAAAUGCCAUUUCACUGUACUUCCUUAAGUUAUUUGUUCCCUGUGUUGCUGCAUUGGUGCAGUCACAAAGUGUGUUAUUCCAAAAGAUACAGGGCAAGAAUUCUGAGUCUGGAUCUCUGGAAAUCUUAGUAUGAGUUAAUAAAAUCCCUUCAAAAAACAG